GGUUCCACAGUAUAGCGGUUAGUACGUCUGCUUUACAUGCAGAAGGUCCUGGGUUCGCGCCCCAGUGGAGCCA
rfam:Pteropus alecto contig1973, whole genome shotgun sequence.